UAAAGAAUUUGUUUUUUUGUUUUGUCUUUAUUUUACUUAAAAUAAAAAUUGUGUAAGUGAACCGCCGACUUAGGCUCUUUGGAGUCAGAGGGUUAAAGCUCCUCGUGUUGAGCAGGAGGCUGAGACUUCUACUGAUAGCAAGCACCGGUACUUUACUUGGAUUCGGCUUGGGGCCAAUCCCUAUUUUCCAAUCUCGUUAUCGUAUAAUAAUAAGAAGAAGAUAGCAGC
rnacentral:lncRNA from 1 species